CUCCGGUUGAUCCUGCCGGACCUGACUGCUAUCGGAUUGGUACUAAGCCAUGCGAGUCGUUGUAGCAAUACAAGGCGGACGGCUCAGUAACACGUAGUCAACCUAACUCGUGGACGUGGAUAACCUCGGGAAACUGAGAAUAAACCACGAUAGAUCAUAGUGCCUGGAAUGGCUUAUGGUCCAAACAGUUUACUGCCAUGGGAUGGGACUGCGGCCUAUCAGCUUGUUGGUGAGGUAAUGGCCCACCAAGGCGAUUACAGGUACGGGCUCUGAGAGGAGAAGCCCGGAGAUGGGUACUGAGACACGGACCCAGGCCCUAUGGGGCGCAGCAGGCGAGAAACCUUAGCAAUGUGCGAAAGCACGACUGGGUCAGUCCGAGUGAUUCCUGAUAAAGGAGUCUUUUAUCUGUCCUAAAAGCACAGGUGAAUAAGGGGUGGGCAAGUCUGGUGUCAGCCGCCGCGGUAAUACCAGCACCUCGAGUGGUCAGGACGUUUAUUGGGCCUAAAGCAUCCGUAGCCGGCUUUGCAAGUCUCCGGUUAAAUCCACCUGCUCAACAGAUGGGCUGCUGGAGAUACUACAAAGCUAGGGAGUGGGAGAGGCAGACGGUAUUCAGUGGGUAGGGGUAAAAUCCUCUGAUCCAUCGAGGACCACCAGUGGCGAAGGCGGUCUGCCAGAACACGUUCGACGGUGAGGGAUGAAAGCUGGGGGAGCAAACCGGAUUAGAUACCCGGGUAGUCCCAGCUGUAAACGAUGCAAACUCGGUGAUGCAUUGGCUUAUGGCCAAUGCAGUGCCGCAGGGAAGCCGUUAAGUUUGCCGCCUGGGAAGUACGGACGCAAGUCUGAAACUUAAAGGAAUGGCGGGGGAGCA
rnacentral:rRNA from 1 species